AUAAUGACUCUCGGCAACGGAUAUCUCGGCUCUCGCAUCGAUGAAGAACGUAGCGAAAUGCGAUACUUGGUGUGAAUUGCAGAAUCCCGUGAACCAUCGAGUCUUUGAACGCAAGUUGCGCCCGAAGCCAUCAGGCUAAGGGCACGUCUGCCUGGGCGUCACAC
rnacentral:rRNA from 1 species